CAUCGACUUCUCAGAUUAAGAAAAACCUAUUUACUAGAAUCCAAUGGAUUACGGGUCGACCGAGCCAACACCAUUCCCGCCGCGUAAAAGAAUGAAACCAGAAGGGCGACCCAAGGGCAUCAAAACGGGCCCGAUCACGAACGUGACCGGUCCGACGAGCAAUGGAGCCAGAGAGAUCCCCACGAAGAGCGAUGCGAGAGCGGCGGGAGGGACCUGCGCCGUCGACGCGAUGGCGAGAUGCGGCCGCCUCGAAGUGGAGGCGACGAUCGGGAGCGCAGACAGGGGAGGAGGGAACUUCACGAUGUGGGCCGUCCGGCCGAUUACGAUCGCCGGUUGUUCCGCCUCAUCUCUCGCCAUUCUCAGACGCAGAAGAUGAAGAGUGGCGAUCGGCGAUUGUUAUCGGCGGGUCCAUUCUGCGUUCGAAGUCCGCGUCGCCGGAGCUUAAUUUCUCCAGAUCUGAUGCACUUUCUCUAAAGCUGAUUUCCCGGAGCUCGAUACUACAUUGAUCGCUUUAUUAAGAAUAGUGGAGAAGGGUGAGCUGUAGCCAUGGGUCGAGCCGAAUGCUUCGUUGAUCGCGUGAUUAAUCGCAGUAAAAACAUGGUGGCUUCGAGCACUAAAAUGAUUAAGCUUAUUGGUGCUGUUGAUUUUUGGGUUCCCGGCUGCGGAUUGUACUAAUUGAUUGGUUGACCAAAGUUGUUGACUUUCCUUGCUUAUUGGAUUCGUUGCAUCGAAUACAUGGUGAAUUUAUCAGGAACUUGUCUCUUUGUUUUCUGUUUCUUGGUUUAUAUUAUGUACAUUGUGAGGAAUACGUUUAUUUUGCUGAAUUUUUCUGAAAAGUUGGGUAUUUGUUAUUGGAUCAUACACCUCGUUGGACUGGCCCUGUAAAAUAUAAUGUGGUGAAUGGCAGCUUGCCUUUCGAAAGCAGGCUUCUGCUGCUCUCUAUCUCUAUUAUUCUUUCCAUUCUCUUUGUUAAUCGGUUGAUGGUUUUGAUAAAUCUUGCUUGGAGUGAUAAAGGGGGGCUCAUGUUUGAUGAGGCUAAGAAUUCUCUACAUUCAGUGUAUCAAUUACAUCUCCCUUUCUCUUUUACCGAUUGCAGCGAGCUUCAUAUUCUUGUUAUAGGUUAAGGAACUCGAAAUGCCUCAGCUUUUCUAGAACAGGUCCAAGUCAAAUAGCAAUGCAAUUUGUGGUCUUGGGAUGAGCUUGUCCGAGUUCAAGAGAUGCCUUCCCUGGUUAAUAAUGCUCAGUCUGAAGCUUUUGGCGUUUCUGUGGCGCAGAAGUUUUUAAGUAGCUUUGAUGCGAGGGAAGAUGCUUUCUCCUCAUUCCAAGCUCACUUUAACUCUUAGCGGCCACCUCCAAAUCAAUCCUUCAUCAGAGCAGCUGCCACUGCACUGGCUAAGAGACAUGCAGAUGGGUAAUUGCCACUGGAAGACUUCAACAUAGAACUUGAAGAUCAGAGUGGAAAGAAAGUAAAUAUGGGAUCUGAAACUUAUCAGAGGGUUGGCAGUAGACUAAUUUGUUUUUUAAGAAAUCCAUUCCCAAGCAGUCUUUUCUCACAAUCUGCUGUUUAGCUGCUAUUGUUUUGAAUUGGCAUUUAAAAAACCUUUUGUAUUUUCUCCAGUGCUGUGAUGAUGGGCUUAAUGCUUCACUCAAAUGCAAAACAACUUACGAGGAGGCAAAAGUAUGAAGAUGCAUUGGAAGUUCUUGCUAUGGGUGAGGUCCGUUACUGGUGCUCUGUGGUUACUCAUGAUAAUCUAAGCAUUUUUGGCCUUAUCCAGUACCAAGCUUCAAUGCUUCUUAAUCUGUAACAUGCAUAAUGUGGGAAUUGAGAUGUAUUGUGAGGCAUGUCAUUUUGUAGAAGAGUUUACCAACUGUUCAGAUCAAUAGUUGGUUGCAUAUACUAAAAAAAAGUGGUGCCACCUUGUCCUUUCCCAUUAGAAUGCCAUAACUUGCUACUGAAUUGAUGUGAUGCCCUGUUGCAAUUGAGUUUAAUAAUCGGAAUAUAUUACACGAUGCUAA